rnacentral:lncRNA from 1 species
CAGGACUCUACCCCUGAGGAUGGUUCUGCUCUCACUGCCUGGGCUGCCUCCCUGCUGGCUGUUGUCAAGAUGAUAGCAUAUGUUUCCAGAGAGAUGACAUGGGAAAAACUAUCUCUGGAAUUGCCACCCCAGAGCCUACUGCAGAUCCGCAAAGCCACCUUUGGAACAAGAGGGAUGCUUCACACACAAGGAAGAUGCUCUUAAGGGUUUCAUGCAAGUCAGUGGAUGCUUGAUAUUUUCACUUUAAAGGGCAUUUAAAGGCCAACUUCAAUUGCAAGAGACUGUUUUGGUGUCCGUUCUUUGGAAGUGACUGUGCAAUACUUCAUCCUGUCCUGCCACCAUCAGUCCUCAUCCUUUACCUCUGCAAGUUACACCGAAGUUCUUCAGGUGGUAGCUGAUGAGAGCAGUAACACAGGAAGUUGCCCAGCUGGGGAUGAAGACACAAGAGCCUACUGCAGAACCACAGCUUCUCAGACCUUUGUACGUGCACAAGCCCUCUGUCUCACCUCCAAUAGAAAGCCAUCCAUCCCCUGUGGGAAUAUUUCUCCCGGGGUAACAACUUUACUAGGAAACUCAGCUAAGAGGCACAUUAACUGUCCAGCAGCCUAUUGGGAAGAGUGGUAGAGGGGGCGAUGUUAAGUCAGGAGGAGAUCGUGUGUGUGGACCAGGAGAAAUACAGCCUUUCAUGACAUUGAGCAUUGUGAGAAGAGUGAGAACACAUUUUCAGAUCAUCAGAAAUGAUUACCAAUUGAAAAGAACGCAGUGUUGCCUUUGCCAUAAUGAGAGGGGCUGAGAGGGCAGCUACAGCAAGGAUGUGGAGAGAAGCAGGGACAGUGAGUCUCCAGCAGCAGGGAGAACAGGGGCCACCCAGACCAGGAGACAGCAUCUAGAGGACUGGGGACAGUGGGCUAUUGCUCUGGCAUCUUCAUUUUCUGUUCCCUUCCACCCACUAGGCAGCCUUUGAAUCUUGAUUUAGCUUCCCUAGUAGACUUUCCUCCUGAAAAGACACAGUUCCCCUUAGAAAAAAAUGCAUGGCCUUUCUGUCUCAGACCAGUUUCAUUUGUUUGCACAGUAUAAGCCAGAUUUCCCCUAGAACCUGAUUAUCCUGGGUAAGCUGAAAAGCCAAAGUGAUAUGACCAGAGCUUGGCAACUCUUCAGAUAUGAGGGAUAAACGUUGAAGAAAGAGUCAAAGAUAACAUUAAAUUUCUAAGCCAGAGUUCCCAGAAGGAUGAUAUACUGCAUACAGAAUAGGAAAAGGUAGAAUCUAUCAAAGUAUUGACCUUCAGGCCUUCCCUCACCACCAACCCUCUAUCUUAAUAUCUUGUGGUGGAGGGUCUGUUGGAAAUAGUCUGUAAUUUCAGGGGCCAUAUUUCACUUCCACAUUCAUUUAAUAAUAAUUAUGUAUUAGGUGCUUACCACGUGCAGGACACUGAAAUGGAUGUUAUGAGAUUGUACAAGGAUGAAAGACUUAGCAUAUCAUCCAAGAAGCACAUUAGAAUUGCGUAGGGAAUAUAAGGCACAUGUAUAAGUAAUGGAAAAUGCAAAUGUAUUUGAUGCUGUCAGCUACAAAUAAGAGAAAAUUCCAACUUUUAAUUUGAUUCAAAGAACAAAAUAAAUGUAUUGUCUCACUUACCAAGAAACCUAGAAAUACGGUGAUUCUGCGAUUGGUUAAUAUAACAGCCUCAGAAUGUCCUCAUGGAUGCAGGUUCUGUCCAUCUUUCCCCUCUGCUAUCUAGGUACGUUGGCCUUGGUCCUCAAGCUUGUCCCCUCACAGACACAAGAGGGCCACAGUUCCAGUCAUUA